CACGUAGGAGGCGAGCGUUGUCCGGAAUCAUUGGGCGUAAAGAGCGCGCAGGCGGCUUGGCAAGUCGGGUGUGAAAUCCCGGGGCUCAACCCCGGGACUGCAUUCGAUACUGUCAGGCUAGAGGUAGGUAGGGGAGAUCGGAAUUCCUGGUGUAGCGGUGAAAUGCGCAGAUAUCAGGAGGAACACCAGUGGCGAAGGCGGCUCACUGGCCCGAUACUGACGCUGAGGCACGAAAGCGUGGGGAGCAAACAGG
rnacentral:rRNA from 1 species